rnacentral:lncRNA from 1 species
UGUUAUUCUCCCUUGCCAAAGCAAUAUCAUCACCAUCUUCAUCAACUGAUGAGGCAGAGGCUCUGCGCAGCACCGGUUGGUGGAAUUCUACCUCUGCUCAUUGCCACUGGGAUGGUGUAUAUUGCAAUAAUGCCGGAAGAGUGACUGGAAUCGCCCUUAACGGUUCAGGAAAAGAAUUGGGUGAGCUUAGCAAAUUGGAGUUUUCUUCAUUUCCCAGCCUGGUUGAGCUCAACCUUUGUGCCUGUGGACUCAAUGGUAGCAUCCCGCACCAAAUAGGUACUCUUACUCAACUCACUGUUCUUUCUCUCCAUGAUAACAAUCUUACAGGUGAGAUACCUCUGUCCUUGGCUAACCUCACUCAGUUGCUCUACCUCACCCUUUGUUCUAAUCCACUACAUGGUUCGAUUCCUCCUGAAAUUGGGAAAAUGAAGAAUCUGAUUUUUUUGGAUUUGGGUUAUAGUAACCUUAUUGGUGUCAUCCCUUCAUCUUUUGGUAAUCUUACCACUUUGACUACUCUCUAUCUUGAUGGUAAUCAAAUAAGUGGUUUAAUCCCUCCUCAAAUUGGGAAAAUGAAGAAUCUGAAGUCGCUUUUACUUUCUCAUAAUGGACUACAUGGUCCAAUUCCUCCCGAAAUUGGGGGAAUGAAGAAUCUGAAUAAGUUGAAUUUAGGUUAUAACAACCUUACUGGUGUCAUCCCUUCAUCUUUUGGUAAUCUUACCAAUAUGAAUUCUCUUUCUUUUCGAGGUAAUCAAAUCAGUGGUUUUAUUCCUCUUGAAAUUUGGUAUCUUUUGAAUUUAUCAUAUUUAGAUCUCAGUGAGAAUCAAAUCAGUGGUUUCAUCCCCGAAGAAAUAGUAAAUUUGAAGAAAUUGAGUCAUCUAGACAUGAGUAAUAACUUAAUAAGUGGAAAGAUACCUUCACAGUUGGGAAAUUUGAAAGAAGUAAAAUACUUCAAUCUCUCCCACAAUAACCUCUCUGGCACCAUUCCUUAUUCUAUUUCUAGUAACUACAACAAAUGGACAUUGAUUGAUUUAUCAAACAAUCGGUUGGAGGGUCAAACUAGAGCUCCGGUAGAGGCAUUUGGCCACAACAAAGGUCUAUGUGGUGAAAUCAAAGGUCGGCCACGAUGCAAGAAAAGGCACCAAAUCACACUCAUCAUUGUUGUUUCUUUAUCUACAACCUUGUUGCUUUCAAUUGCAAUCCUUGGUUUUCUCUUCCAUAAACGAAGGAUCAGAAAAAAUCAAUUACUCGAGACAACAAAGGUGAAAAAUGGAGAUCUAUUUUCCAUAUGGGACUAUGAUGGUGUGAUUGCUUAUCAAGACAUCAUCCAAGCAACCGAAGAUUUUGACAUCAAAUACUGCAUAGGCACGGGAGGCUAUGGGAGCGUUUACAGAGCACAACUACCUUCCGGGAAGGUGGUUGCCUUGAAAAAACUUCAUGGAUGGGAAAGAGGGGAUCCAACUUACUUGAAAAGCUUUGAAAAUGAAGUUCAAAUGCUAACAAGAAUACGACAUCGUAAUAUUGUGAAACUUCAUGGCUUUUGUCUACAUAAGAGAUGCAUGUUUCUAGUUUACAAAUAUAUGGAGAAAGGAAGCUUGUAUUGUAUGCUAAGGGAUGAAGUUGAGGCUGUGGAAUUGGAUUGGAUUAAGAGGGUGAAUGUUGUUAAAAGCAUUGCUAAUGCUUUAUCCUACAUGCAUCAUGACUGCGACUUGCCCAUCAUUCAUCGAGACAUAUCAAGUAAUAACAUUCUUUUGGACUCUAAGCUUGAAGCUUUUGUUUCGGAUUUUGGCACUGCAAGAUUGUUAGAUAAUGAUUCAUCCAAUCGAACCCUUCUUGUAGGCACUUAUGGUUAUAUUGCACCAGGUAAGCUAGAUUAUAAUCUUCACUAGUUUUCAUUACUUAUGAAUCUUUUCAAUUGUCACACCCUUACAAAAUUCCAAAAGUUUUUUAGAUCGAGAAUUCAAAAUAUUUUAUAAGUUUUCUCUAUAUAAAUAACAUGAAUACUCUUUUUUUUUCUAUAUUUUGCAGAGCUUGCUUAUACUAUGGUUGUGACUGAAAAAUGUGACAUUUAUAGCUUUGGGAUGGUUGCAUUGGAGACAAUGAUGGGAAUGCAUCCAGGAGAAUUUGUCACCUCAUUAUCAUCUUCAUCAACUCAAAACACAACGUUAAAGGAUGUAUUAGAUUCACGUCUUUCAUCUCCUAAAAGUACACAAGUUGCUAAUAACAUAGCUCUUAUAGUGUCAUUGGCGCUCAAAUGUCUCCAUUCUAAUCCACAAUUUCGUCCAUCCAUGCAAGAAGUGUCUUCGAAACUUGUUUCUACAAGGUCAUUCCCACAACCCAUCAGUACAAUAUCACUUUUGCAACUAAAAGAUGAAGUUAUUUAAAUGGCAUGGAGUUGGUAUGUAAUUGGAGUGAAGAUGUUUAUUUUCCAUUUUUCUUUUUCAUGGUAAUGAGAAUUUUAUAAUAUAUGUAUCCCUUCUUUCCUAUUAAUUACUCAAAUGCAAAUUUUCUAUUUGUUUUUCCAAAGCGGCAAUAGUGUAAUGUGAUACUAAGAAUUACAUCAAAUUGAUACACAAUGAUCUAUAAACUUUUAAUGAACCAUGUCAUUCCGAUUAAUAAUUUUUUAUAAUGAUUCUUUUUUGGAGAAAAAUCCUUCUUUUUCUUUUAUCAAUUUUAACAUAUAUACCAUUUUCUCCAUUUUCAUAUUCUAAUCAAUCAAAUUAGUGACAUUUCUUGUAAAUGUGACAAACCUAUUGUCAAAGGCAUUAAAAAAAUUAGGGAAAAAACAAAUUGAAUAAUUUCAAUGUGAUUGUCUCUACAUGAUGAAGAUAAUAAAUUUAUUUUAUUUAUUUUUAAAAUACUGUUUUAUCCAUUUUUCCUAUAUCAUCUAAAAUUUUGUCUAAAAUAAAAUUAUUUGAUUUUGUAUAAGAAUACUUAAAAAUGUCGGUGGGAAUGUGGGAUACUAGGCUGACACUAAAACACCAAAUGACAUACUUGUGAUACAAUAUUAAGAAAUUAUUUCAUAAUAUUUUAUAAUUUGUUUCUACUAUUUAGUCACCCAUAAAUAUCAAUUUUAAAAAAAUUUAAUGAUUAAAGAAAAUUAAGUGAGAUAUAAUUAAAUAACUCUAAAAAUUUUAUUUUCCCAUCAUGGAAUAACAGAAUUGAUAUUCAUACUAAUGAUUUUAUUAAGAUAAGAUACCUAGUCGAUAAAAUGUCCUUGAUUUUAUAUAAAAUUAGACAUUAUAUUUACUUAAAUUAUUUUCAUAAUAGUAGCAUAUUUGUUAAAUAUAUGAAACUAUUCAAAUUGAAUAAUUUAGGUAAACUAUGAAUAUUAUAAGUACGCCAUUAAUGCUCCUCGUUUUAAAAGAAGCAAUAUUUCAGUUUCAUAUCUAAAGUUUUUUUUUCCAACUCCAAUUGGUGUAUAUAGACCCGAUUUUGUAGUGAAGCUUGGCAGCUAGUAGGAUUUCCUUCACAGAAAAGAAUGGACAGAUGAAAUAAACAGAAACCAAACCAAGAGAUGAGUGUGGUGUAUUCUCAUUCCUUGGCUAGAAUCCCCACAUCACAGGUACUGCCUGUUAGCUUUUUUCUUAUAAUGUGUGGCCAUAUACAAUUAUAUUUGUAUGAAUAUUAUUUAAGGGUAUCAAUUGAUAGGUUGGUGAAUCAAUUGAUUGGGCAUCCAAGAGUCUUAUGUAUGGAAGAUUCAAAUUUAUAAAUGGGGAGUUAGAAAAUUUAACUCAUAUGAAUGUGGUGUUACAACUUUUGUAACCCCAUCAUUAUGAAAUUUAUUUGUACAUUAUGUUUAUGAGUAAUGGAGGAAAAUGGAAAAGUAUAACCUAUGCAAUUAUAUAGAUGCAUUCAAGUUCAUAACCCACCAUUACCCAUUGAUUUGUACAUAAUGGGUGUAAAUAAUGAGUAUAACUCUCAUAUAGUCUUUGAUGGGAAGACUAAGAGAUGUACAAUUUUUUUUAUAAGUUCAAGUCCCAAGCCACACUCUCAUUCUUAUAUCAUUUUUGUUAUUUAUUUUUAACAACAUACACCAUACAAAUGACUCAUCCACUAUAUGAGAGUAGUGAGUUGAAGACCUUGACAAUAUAAUUCACAAGGUGACUUAAUCUCACUUCAUGGUUCAAGGUAAGAAUAUGAUCAUUAUUUUAGUAUUUACAUUUAUUUUGUUUUAUGCAUCCAAAAUUGUUUUUUAAAAUAAUUAUUUCCGCAUAAAGUUUAUAAAAGUUUGGUUAACAAUUGGUAUCAGAGCCAACCAAUUUUGGAUCAUAAAACAUAUUUUUCCGUUUUUUGAUUAUUGUUUGAUCUUAUGGACAACUAAAAUAUAUAUGAUGUGAUGCAUAUGAAUGAUGUAGUAACACAACAUUUUCAAUGUUUCAUGAUUUCAAUCAUAUCUAUUGCAUGAUUUUAUGAAAGUUGAAAACAUAUGAUUAGUAAUUUAAAUGUGUGAUUAUGGAAAUCUCAAGAAAUAGUUUUUCUAGUAUGCAUGUUUAUUUACUUGUUUGUUUGAAGAUGAUCAUAUAUAUAUAUAUAUAUAUGUGUGUGUGUGUGUGUGUGUGUGUGUGUGUUGUUCAACUUAUGAAACAAGUGUUGAUCAACCCAACGGAGGAUCAUCACCAUGUUUGAUUAUAUGAAAAGAGUUUAAUAAUAAAAAGUUGAUGAAGUUUUUACCCAACGGUAUUAAACUUCUUUACGUUUCAAUACUUUUAUUUUAAUAAUUAUGUCAUAUCUAUAUGAUUUAUGAAUUAUUAUAAUUCAACCCAACGGAGGGAUUAUAAUAAUGUACUUUUGAAUUAUAUGAUUGUAGUUCGGUCCAACGAAAGAACUAUGAUAUAAUCUCUUAUGUUUAUAAUUAAUGUGAUAUCUAACUUAAUUUUUGUUGUAAUUAGAUUAUUGUAAAGUGUGGUGUUAAAUAUUGUCAUGAUAUAAAAUAAUUUUCCUUUUGAAUUAAUCCUAUUGCUAUUAUAGGCUAUUUGUCUGGUAUUGAACAAUUAAGUGGGGCAAAUUUUAAAAAAUGGAAGGAACAAAUUGGAAUUAUUCUUGGUUGCAUGGAUUUGGACUAUGCCUUAAGAGAACCUACACCCACAAAGCCUACUUCUGAAAGGACUAAUGAACAAAAGGUUUUAUAUGAAAAGUGGGAGCGCUCUAAUCGCAUGAGUCUAAUGAUUAUGAAAGGUUCAAUCACUCCUGCAAUUCGUGGAGCAAUCCCGGAUUCAGAUAAUGCAAUAACCUAUAUUAAAUCAGUUGAAAAACAAUUCUUAGGAACUUCCAAGUCCUUGGCAAGUACUCUUAUGAUCAAAAUGAUAACAAUGAAAUAUGAUGGUCAUAGUGGUGUACGUGAGCACAUCAUGAAGAUGAGUGACAUGGCUUCUCAAUUGAAAGGAAUGGACAUGACAAUUUCUGAAGGUUUUCUUGUUCACUUCAUAAUGACUUCCCUUUCUUCACAAUUUGGUCAUUUCAAAAUUAAUUAUAAUACUCAGAAGGAUAAGUGGAAAAUGAGUGAACUAAUUGCCAUGUGUGUUCAAGAAGAAGAGAGGCUUAAAGUGGAAAAGCCCGAUAUGGCUCACCUCACCAUUGGUCCAAAUAAAAAAUCCUUCAAGAAAGGUAAAGGUAAGAAAAAUAAGCAAGGUAAUGAUGUAUCUCACAAUGGGCAAAAGUAUGAAAAUAAGAUACAAUGUUAUUUUUUCCACAAGAAAGGUCACAAAAGAAGAGAUUGUUCUGGCUUUAAGCCUUGGUUGGAAAAGAAAGGUAAAACUCAAUGCUUAGUGUCUUAUGAAUCUUAUUUAGUUGAUAUACCACCAAACUCUUGGUGGAUUGACACUGAUGCAAGCAUUCACAUAACGAAUUCAUUGCAGGGAUACCUUACAAGCAAGAUACUAAGUAAAGGAGAGCGAACCAUUACUUUGGGAAAUGGAACAGAAGUGGAAAUUGAGGCUAUUGACACUCUUUGUUUAAUUUUGGAUACUGGUUUCAUUAUGGAUUUAGUAGAUAUAGUUUAUAUUCCUGUUUUUAUUAGAAACCUAAUUUCAGUUCCAAGACUUGAUUCUUAUGGUUAUGAAUUAAAGUUUGGAAAUAAUGGAGUUUCCUUGUUCUAUAAUUCUUGUUUGGUUGGCUCUGGCACUUUACAUGGUAAUCUUUAUUCAUUGAAUUUAGAUUGCAAAUAUUCACAGUCUCUUUUAUCUUAUCAUGUGUAUGAAUUCUCUAAAAAACGAAAUCAAGUGAAUGAAAAUUCAUCCAUAUUGUGGCAUAAGCGAUUGGGUCACAUUUCAAGAGAAAGGAUGGAACAUCUUAUUAAAGAUGAAAUUUUGACUUCACCUGAUUUUUCUGAUUUUACUAAUUGUGUUGAAUGCAUAAAGGGAAAACACACUAAGGUUAAGAAAAAGGGUGCCUCAAGGGCUACUAAAUUGUUAGAAUGUAUUCAUUAUGACAUUUGGGGACCUUAUUCAAUUCCAACUAUCAAUGGACAUAAGUACUUUAUUAGUUUUAUUGAUGACUUUUCAAGGUAUUCUUAUGUGUAUCUUAUUCGUGAAAAAUCUGAAGCAUUAGAUGUUUUUAAGAUUUAUAAAGCUGAGGUUGAAAAUCAACUCAAUCGGCGAAUUAUAAGUGUAAGAUCUGAUAGAUGUGGUGAAUAUUAUGGUAGGUUCACCAAAUCAGGUCAACAUCUUAGUGCUUUUGCCUUAUUUUUAAGAGAGCAUGGUAUCAUUGCAAACUACACAAUGCCUGGAACACCAGAGCAAAAUGGUGUAGCAGAGCGACAAAAUCGUACUCUAAUUGACAUGGUGAGAAGUAUGAUGAGUGACUCAACCUUGCCUGAAUUUUUGUGGGGUGAAGCAUUGAAAACUGCUGUUCACAUUCUCAAUCGUGUUUUUAGUAAGGUUGUACCCAAAACUCCUUAUGAGUUAUGGGUGGGUAGGAAACCGAAUUUGAAUUAUUUACAUGUAUGGGGAUGUCCAGUUCAAGCUAAAAUUUUUAACCCACAAAUCAAGAAAUUGGAUUCUAAAACCAUAAGUUGCAAUUUCAUUGGCUAUCCUGAAAGAUCAAAAGGUUUUAGAUUUUAUUGUCAUGGUCAGGGCCCUAAAAUUUUUGAAACUAGACAUGCUGUGUUUUUGGAAAAUGAAUAUUUUAGUGGGAGAACUGAGCUUAAAAAGUUAACCUCUAAUGAAGUAUCAACACCAAUGAUGGAAUAUGGUGUGACUCAAGAGGUUUCUUGUAAUGAAAAUGAGAAUGUCCCAACUACAGAAGCAUCUUUACGUAGAUCACAAAGAGAGAAAAAACCUGCUAUAUCAAAUGACUAUGAAGUUUAUCUUAAUGAGUGUGAUUAUGACGUUGGCUUGGAAAGUGAUCCUACUUCUUAUGAUCAAGCCAUCAAUAGUGAAAAUUCAACUCUAUGGCUUUAUGCUAUGGAAGAAGAGUUGAAAUCAAUGAAAGAUAAUGAAGUUUGGGAUCUUGUAAAAUUGCCUAAAGGAGAUAAAACUAUUGGUUGCAAAUGGAUUUUUAAAACCAAACAUGAUUUUAAGGGCAAUGUCGAAAAAUACAAGGCUAGGUUAGUUGCAAAAGGAUACACUCAAAAAGAAGGAAUCGACUAUAAGGAAGCAUUUUCUCCUGUUUCCAAGAAAGAUUCCUUAAGAAUAGUCAUGACUUUAGUAGCUCAUGUUGACUUAGAGUUACAUCAAAUGGACGUUAAAAUUGCAUUUUUGAAUAGUGACUUGCAUGAAGAGGUUUAUAUGGAUCAACCCGGGGGUUUUUAGGAUAAAAGCAAGGAACAUAUGGUAUGUAAACUUAAAAAGUCCAUAUAUGGUCUAAAACAGGCUUCUAGAUAAUGGUAUCUUAAGUUCCAUGAAAUUCUCAUCACUUUUGGUUUCAAAGAGAAUCUAGUGGAUCAAUGUAUAUACCUUAAGAUCAGUGGAAGCAAAAUUUGUAUUAUUGUAUUGUAUGUUGAUGAUAUGUUGCUUGCUAGCAACAAUAUGAGAAUGAUUUUGGAGACCAAACAAUUUUUAUCCAAGAAUUUUUAUAUGAAAGAUCUUGGUGAAGCAUCCUAUGUGAUGGAAAUUGAAAUUCAUCGAGAUAGGUCACGUGGAUUAUUAGGAUUAUCCCAAAAGAACUAUAUUGAAAAAUUUCUUAAAAGAUUCAACAUGCAAAAUUGUUUUAGUAGUGUUGCUCCUGUUGUGAAAGGGGACAUAUUUUGUGAACUUCAAUGUCCCAAAAAUGAUCUUGAAAAGAAACAAAUGGAAAAAAUUCCUUAUGCUUCAGCAGUAGGAUGUAUCAUGUAUGCUCAAGUCUACACUCAACUAGACAUAGCUUAUGUGGUAGGCAUGCUUGGUCGAUACCAAAGUAAUCCAGGUAUUGAUCAUUGGAAAGCAGUUAAAAAAAAGUAUUGCGUUAUUUGCAAGGGACUAAGGACUACAUGCUUACAUACAAAAGAACAGAUAAUCUAGAGAUUAUUGGUUAUUCUGAUUCUGAUUAUGCUGGCUGUAAGGAUACUAGAAAGUUUACAUCUGGGUAUAUUUUAUCAAAUGGACCUAUUUCAUGGAAAGGUCGUAAGCAAUCAUUGAUAGCUUCUUCUACAAUGGAGGCAGAAUAUGUAGCAUGUUAUGAAGCCACAUGUCAUGUAAUAUGGUUGAGAAACUUUGUCUCAGGGCUUCAUAUUAUUGAUUCAAUAAUGAGACCAUUGAGAAUAUAUUGUGAUAAUAGUGGUGCUGUCCGAUUCUCUAAAAAUAAUAAGACUACUGGAGGAUCAAAGCACAUUGAUAUUAAGUAUUUGGUUGUAAGGGAGAAAGUUCAACAUAGAGUUGUCUCUAUUGAACAUAUUAAAAAUACACUCAUGUUGGCAAAUCCAUUGACAAAAGGUCUUCCACCUAAGCUUUUUAUGGAUUAUGUUGCAUGCAUGGGCUUGGUGGCAAGUUUGUCAAUUUUAGAUUGAUUGAAAGUGUAAUGUAUGUGAUCACAUUAUAAUGAGAAUAAAGUUCUUGAUUAUGAUAUAUUGAUGAUUAUUAUGUUACUUUUAUACAUCAUUUUUGUGCACAAUCUAGAUGUUUAAAAGUUGAUGAGACCAUUAUGUGAAUGAAUUAGCAUUAUCACCUUAAUGUUGCUAAUGUCAUAAAAGUCAUUGAUUCAUGUUAAUGGAGGUGUUAGUACUAUAAUCCUUGAAGAAUAUUGGAUCGUUGUAUGAUCCAAUCAUUUCAAUGAUUUGGUGUUAGUGGUUCCAUGAAACAUAAUCUUAAAGUAAAGGAUGCCUAUUUUGAGAAAUUGUUAUGGCCAUAUUAUGUUUUAAUCUAUUACAAAUAUAAUUAUGUGGGCCAAGUGGGGGAUUGUUAGUUUUUUUCCCAUAAUGUGUGGCCAUAUACAAUUAUAUUUGUAUGAAUAUUAUUUAAGGGUAUCAAUUGAUAGGUUGGUGAAUCAAUUAAUUGGGCAUCCAAGAGUCUUAUGUAUGGAAAACUCAAAUUUAUAAAUGGGGAGUUAGAAAAUUUAACUCCUAUGAAUGUGGUGUUACAACUAUUGUAACCCUAUCAUUAUGAAAUUUAUUUGUACAUUAUGUUUAUGAGUAAUAGAGGAAAAUGGAAAAGUAUAACCUAUGCAAUUAUAUAGAUGCAUUCAAGUUCAUAACCUACCAUUACCCAUUAAUUUGUACAUAAUGGGUGUAAAUAAUGAGUAUAACUCCCAUAUAGUCUUUGAUGGGAAGACUAAGAGAUGUACAAUUUUUUUUAUAAGUUGAGGUUUCAAGCCACAUUCUCAUUCUUAUGUCAUUUUUUGUUGUUUAUUUUUAACAACAUACACCAUACAAGUGACCCAUCCACUAUAUGAGAAUAGUGAGUUGAAGACCUUGACAAUACAAUUCACAAGGUGACUCAAUCUCACUUCAUGGAUCAAGGUAAGAAUAUGAUUAUUAUUUUAGUAUUUACAUUUAUUUUGUUUUAUGCAUCCAAAAUUGUUUUUUAAAAUAAUUAUUUCCGCAUAAAGUUUAUAAAAGUUUGGUUAACACUGCUCUUCUUCACUCCAAAACCAGGUUCUUUUCUCUUUUCUCUUUUCCUGCUUCUCAAUUCCCAUAAUUCUCAUUCAUCUUCAAUGCUCUUAAUCAAGUCCAAGAGUUGCAGAUUGAUUUCAUGGGAAGUCAAUUCAAUUAUGAAUGACAAUAAUAAUAGUGGCAAGAAAGGUCAAUUGUAGUUCAUUCUCGAGUCACAAGGUCAAAUAUUGCAUUGGGUUGACUCAUCUAAGUCUUCUUCUUGGUCUUUUAUGUAAACAUGGCGUAGCUUGGAAAAUUAUACUAAUAAAUCCAUCAUUGAUCUCAACAUCAAUAUUUUUUUCUUCAAAUUAUUUGAUAGGAAGCCUCCCCAACGUGGAAUAUUGAAUUUAGUUGUUUAAUGGACUUCAAUCGCAUGCUCUUUGAAAUUAAGCCCCAGUCCAUAUUUUUUGUGUGUGUUCAUAUGGUAACCUGGCCUGUUAAAGAUGUAUUUCAUUUUCUUGAAAAGAAAUAAUUAGUGCAUACAUAUUUUGAGAAGAGAAAAAUUAAGAUUCAAUAUAUUUACAUUAUUAAUUUAUUAAAUAAGUAAAUAAUUAAUUAAUCAAAUAAUUUUUCAAAAAAUUAAAUAAUUAAUUAAUCAAAUAAUUUUUCAAAAAAUUAAAUAAUUAAUUAAUCAAAUAAUUUUUAAAAAAUUAAAGAAAAUAUUUUUGUUAAUUAAAAAAAUUUAUUUAUAAAGGGUUUAGAUAGAAAACAAAAAGAGGUUUUAAAUGUAAAGUUGCAUGGAGAAGUGAAUUGUAUGGUUUGGACAAUUUCAUAAAUAAAUCCAUCAUCAUCAUUGUAAGAUGGUUUACCCUUCUCAAAAUCAUUAUCAAACCUAGGUGUUUUUAAAAAAAUUUAUAAAGAUUUAUAUAUAUAUAUAUAUAUAUAUAUAUAUAUAUAUAUAUAUAUAUAUAUAUAUAUAUAUAUAUAUAUAUAUAUAUAUAUAUAUAUUUUAUGAUUUAUCAUUCUUUAAAUUCUGUUGACUCUUCUAAGUCUAUUUAUUGGUCUUUUAGGUAAAUAUGGUGUACCUUGAAAAAUUCUAUCCAUCAUUGAUUGAGAAGAUGUAUUUCAUUUUCUUGGAAAUAAAUAGUUAGUGCAUACAUAUUUUGAACACUUAACCGAGGAGAAAUAUUAAAUUAAAAAGAAAAAUGGCACCAUGCACUUAUAAGAUUCAAUAUAUUUGUUUAUUUGUUAAAUAAGUAAAUAAUUAAUUAAUCAAAGGCUUUAAAAUAUUUUAUAGAAAAAACUUUUGUUGAUUAAAAAAUAUAUUUUUCAAGCAUCCAUCUAACGUGAAAUCAUGGGAUGCACCUUUUUUUUUUCCACGGAUUCAAUUACUCUUAGAAAAUUAUCCCUUAUUCCUUAUUUUUUGUGCUCAUAUGGUGACCUAUUGAAGAUGUAAUUUGUAUAAAAUACAAUUUUUUAGCCUUAUUUAUAUUUAUAUUUUUCUGUGAUUUAAUAUAUCCCAAUAUUAUUUUAAAACACUUAUUUUUUAUACUUUACUAUAAGUUUAGAAAAAAAAUUUAAAUUUUUUUAUACUUUACCUUGUCAUGUUACAAUGCCCUAACCUUUUCCAAAGGUGGCUUUGGAAAUUAUGGCCCCAUCCACAUUUUGAUUUGUCAUGUUUACAAGUCAUGUAUCUGGGAAUCAAUCCUUUCAAAAACCCACUAUUUGGAGUCACUUUCGGAAACCAUUCCCUUCUCCAUAUUUUUGUGUUCACAUGGUCAGUUGUUGAAGAUGUAUUUGAUUUUUCCUUUUAAAAGAAAUAAUUAGUGCAUAGACAUCUUCAACAUCUAACCAAGGAGAAAUAUUAAAUUAAAAAGCAAAAUGGGUCAACCUCAAGACCCAAGGUCCGAGGAACCCAAGCCUUAACAACCGAUGAAGGGAUGACCUCAAAACCGAAGGUUCUUGCGUACUCUUCGUACUCAAAGGAAGACCUUGACAAAGAGUCGAAGACAUAAAGUGGAAAAUGAAGGUUGACUAACUUGGCUUGCAGGGAAAUGAAGUGGCCUUAUAACAAACACGCACGAUUUCAUAUUCUCAUAAGAUUCAACGUAUUUGUUUAUUUGUUAUUUAAUUAGUUAAUUAAUAAAGUCUUUAAAAAAAAUUAAAGAAAAAACUAUGAAAAAUAUAAGGAAAAUUGGAUAAGAAGUAACCCAAUAAAAAUAUUUUAAGAAAUAUGAGUUACUUUGUAGUCUUUUAAUAAAAAAAUAAAAUACAUUUUAUUUAACAUAAGGAGAUUUAUCUCCAAAAAUUACACCACCUUUCAUUAAAUAAUUUUAUUUUAACAUAAGUUUCUAACAAAAAAACUUCCCAAGAAAAACAUCAAAUAACAUUGUAAAAUCAAUAUUGUAAGUAUGAUAUGAUUUUCCUUAGGUUUCCUCAAUAGCCUGAGAGACUAGUGAUUUGGAACCAGUUUCUAAGCUUUCUGGAGCAUCCCCAACACUUUUGUGAUCAAACUUGAAACUAUAGCACUUGGUCCCUUUGAUCAUGCCAAUCACAUUUGUUGAUCCCUGUGGCUGCUAAAUGUUUUGAGUCUCUAAAUAUCCGCUUCCUUUCCAAAACUCGAAUGAACAAAACUAAGAACUUUAAUGCAAUCACCUUUCUAAAAAAAAUAAUAAUAAUAAAAUUGAAAAAAGAAAAAAUCAACAUGCAUGUUUAAAUAAUCACUCACUUCAUCUAUGUACAUUAAUUUAUUCCCCCUUGUGUUGUGAUCUAUUCAGAACUCAUCUUCUGAAUCACUAGAAGAAGAGUUCCUGGACUUGUCUGGCAUGAAAUUUGGCGGCAAGUUUGGGAACUUCACUGGAAUUCUUGAUGGUGGUGACUUUGUUGAUGAUGGCCCCAAACUUGCUGUGGUUGUUUUCCUCCGUUGUAGAUUUCGAGCAAUAUCAACACAGACCUGAUCAACCAUACCCAGAAAAUCUUUUACUAUAAUAAAUAAUUGAAGCGGGCUUGCCUCUUUGUUCUUUGAAGAUCGUGGUUGAUAAUAUUCUGUUGUUCUCCUUAAGAGCUCCAUUACCCUUGUUUGCUCUUCUCUCACCUCCCUUAAUUCUUCGCCUGCUGCUUCGAGAAAACUUUUCAUCUUCCUCAAAAAUCCUCCAUCACUGUUGGCAAAUGGUGCCACAAAUUGCUUGAUUUCAGUGGAAUGGGCUGUGAGAGUUGAACAUACGCCACCAAAGGCAUUGUAGUCCAUUUCAGCUACUUUCUUUACAUUAGAGAAUUCAGCACUUAGGCUUCCUACCACUGGUAAACCAAUCAUUAUGUAUUCCUUUUCUCUAUCCUCUCUUGAUGCCGAGUUCUCAGAAUACAGGCUACUGUUGCUGCUGUGACUCAAGCUGCGAUUUCGGUUCAAAACACAACGUUUGCCCUCAGAACGGACUACUUCUUCCACAACAAAGUGAAGUAACGUAGUUUUUCCAUCAGUGCUUUUAACAUCAGAAAGCUUUUGAAGAGCAGCGAGGUUAAAAGCUUGGGCAUUCCCUCUGGAAGUUCCAGCAUUCAUGCGAUUGCCUGCCUCGAGUAUGGCUUCCAAAAGUUUUAAGAAAAGUCCACGAGUUCGAAGCUCUUUGCAACCCAAUUCAAGUGUUUGUAAACAUUCCCUGAGAUGGAGAAUCUCUGAGUCAUAAUUCGAUCUGAAAAACAUGGCACUAAGACGUAUGAAUGCUGAUGGAACAGCUUUUAGGAUAUGGUAGAGGAAGGAUUCAGCAUCAGCCAGUCUUGUGGGGUCUCCCUCGAAUGCAAGGAUUUGGGAUUCUUCUUCUUUAGUUGGGGCAAUUUUUGUAAGCUUUUCAAGAGCAUCUGCAUUCAGGUCUUGGCCCUUAAUGAGUGCGUUGAGGAUCUCUUUUCGCGAGAUUGCUAAAGAUCGGAGUACAAUUGCUGUGUUUUGGGACUUUCGACUAUCAAGGAUGAAAAUCUGAGCCGAUUGAAUUGAGCUGGCACCAUUUGGGUUGUUAUGGUUUAUCUGAGGAGAUCUCCCAUUAGCAGCAACAUUUCCAAACAGUGCAUCCAUGAGGUCACCAUCGAAGCUGAGAAAUCAAUUGAAAAUUUUGGAAAUCCAGUAAAAUACCAAACAGAGGUGGUUAUGUAAUUCAAGAGACCAAAUUGGUAAAAUAUUACUACCUGAAAGAACCGCCAUUAAUUUUGUGCCACACCAUUGAAUGAUCGGCGUUAGUGUUCACUUUAUCCCAAUGCAAUGGCUUCAGCGCCACCCGACCAUUUCCAGUCCCUGCCUUGCUAUAUCCAGAUGAAGACUCUCCUAGUUUACUGCCAUUAGGCAUCCCUUUGGUCACCGAUGAGGCUUCUUUUGAUGAUGAAGUAAAACCACCCGCCUUAGGUGAGGGAGGUGGUGGUGGUAUGGGAUUUAUCUUAGCUGGGAUUGGUGGUGAGGGAGGUGGUGGUGGUAUGGGAUUUAUCUUUGCUGGGAUUGGUGGUGAGGGAGAUGGUGGUGGUGGUGGUAUGGGAUUUAUCUUAGCUGGGAUUGGUGGUGAGGGAGGUGGAGUAGCACUUGGCUUCUGUGGAAUUGCCAAUAUAGGUGGUGGGGGUGGGAGAGAUGUGGAUGAUUGAAUUGUUGAUUCAGUUUUUCCCACAGCCUCAAGAGAAAUCUCAGAAGAUUGUGACGAAGGAGGGGGGGCAGAAAACCAAUUCAGAUUUUCCACUUCUUCUUGAACUUCAUCAUAGGAAGUUGAAGACUUUCCUCGUAGCAAAGGAAUUUCUUGUAUAGGCUCAGACUUCGCCCUCCCAUCUCCAUUCCGACUCAUCCUUUUUUCUUCAUGUUUCAGAUUAUGUAGAGCCUGUUUAGGGAAACUAUUCUUCCUGUAAUCACCUUCAAGCUUCUUCCAAUAAAGCACGUCCAAACCAUUCUCAUCGACAAUCAGCCCAUUUAGAUUUCCAUUGAAUCGUGAGAACUCAAUGUGACUCACCACAUUUUCACCUCCACCUCGUGGAUCAUUUUUACCUUUCUGGCUUCUCCCCCGUGCAACCGUGUACUUUUGGAACAGAAUGAAGAACAACCCGGAGACAACUAUUGUGGUGGCUGCUGUUACAGCGACUGCCUUAGCAACAGCAUAGCUUGACGAUGACUUUGAUGAUGGAAUUGAUAGUUGGGAAAUUCGAGGAUUGGGAAUUGGAUUUGUUGGAUUUGGAGGAGGCCGGAACGGAUAGAAAGUUUCAAUAUUCCGAGGGGAAUUGGGUUGACAAGAAGAUAAAUGAAGAAUAGAAAAAAGGGAGACAAAAAACAGGGAGAUGAGAGGGCAUGGCUGAAUCACAGCAGCCAUGGAGAAAAGUUGGAUACAAUUGCAGAGAGGAUUAAAACGCACUCUGCUAGUCUUUUCUUUAUUUCAGGCAAUGCUGGUUGAUGUUUUGUCUUGUGCUUUUUGGGGUUUGGUCGUUGACAGUUUCAAACAGGAGUAGUUAGUUGGACCUGUUCUCAUUUUGGUAUUUCCCGGGCUUUUGUAUUUGAAAAAUCUACGAGCCUCAAUUGAAUUUGGAGGAUUCUUUUAUGAAUCUGAGGUGAAACAAAUUCAAACUUCAUCCCAGUAUUGAUUUUGGAAUUGAGUCGGUCUGAUUUAAAGCUUAUAUAUUAAAAAUAUUUAAUUACAAAGGUUUUUUAGUCUUUUUAGACGGAAAUAAUAUGGAUUGCUUUCUUGAAGCGUAAACUUGCAGCAAGGGAAGUGAUUGUCCUAGUCAUUGUCAUUGUCAUAGACGAGUCUUUUGUAGUGCUAAAAGACACAGAGCUGGGUGGUCGGCGACGACCCCAAUAUAAGACUUGAGCCCUGUGCUAAAAGGAGUUGCUUGACUUUGUGUGCUUCCAGGAAACAUUGAUUUCCAGGAAAUUAACUCUAAAAAAUAUAAUAAAUUUAUAAGGCCUUCAUUGAUAAAAUUAAUAUUAAUAAUAAUUAAGUGUAUUUAUAAUAAAUUUCAAGAGGUUUCAAUGAAAUUAACUCUAAAAAUUGAAAUAAUUAAUAUAUUUUAAAAAAAUUUAAAUGAAAAAUAUGGAUGAAAAUAAAAUAACAUAUAAAAUAUAAACCAUCCAUCUUUGAUACAAAGGACAAAAAUUUUGGAGAAAAAUGUUUCAUCAUUCCCUUGAUAAAAAAACUUACAUUUGUUUUAACCAUAAUAAUAGAAGAAAAAAAAGGGUAAAAGAGAAAAUGGAAGGUGAAAAAUGACGCAAAUAUAUUAAUUUCAUAUAUGCAUUCUGUUAUUUUUUUAAAAUUUAUAAAAAUAUUAAAAUAAGGAUAUUUUAGUUAUUAUGUUUUAAAAAAGUAACCAUGCUCCCUAUCUAAAAUAAAAUACAUUUUAAGUUUGUUUGUUUUGAAAAACAAGUUUUUCAAAUAUUUCAAUUCUAUUGCACCACCUCCCGAUUUUUUCAAAAAUACAUACGUAGAAGAUAGAAAGAGUUUUUAUCUCAUAUAUUAAAAAUAUUUAAAUUAGGAAGGUCUUUUAGAUAGGAAAGAAAAUCAAAUUAUGUGAUGAAUAAUUGAAUAUAAAUUGUCCCUUUUCAGACGUAAACUUGGUUUGUUAGGUUAGAAGAUAGCCAGAUGGGUGGUCAGUAAGAGAAUCAUGUGGACACCUAUAUUAUAGACUGAGAUUGAAAAAGAGUUGCUAGUUUUUUUACGGGAAGAGUCUUUGAGUCAGUCUGGAACUAUCUAGGAUAGUUUUUUGUUCUCUACGAAUAAAAAAUAUAAAAAAAAGAAUGUUUGAUAAUUAAAAUUGUUUUAUGUUUUAUAUUUUUAAGAACCGAAAAGAAGAUGUUUUUAAAAAACAUCUUCUAAUUAUUUUAUAUUAUUUUUAUAUGUUUUUUUAAAGUUAUUUUAAGAAAUAAUUAUACAAAUAUGUAAAAUGAUUAAAAAUAAAAUACUAGAUAUAAAAAUUAUUUUUAAAAUAUGUUUUAAAAUAUUAAAAACAUGUUAAAAACAUUUUAGGUAUUCAAAUAGAAUUUUGUUUUACAAAAAUCAAAGAACGGUUUUUAAAAAUUGUUUUUAAAAACUAUUUUUCAAAAUUCUUUUUGAAAGCAGUUACCAAACAUACCAUUUUUUUGCAUUGAGAAGUGUUUUUGUUUUUUGAUAUUUUGUAAAACAAAAAAUUUAUUUGUUAAUUUGAAAUAUUUUUGUGUUGAAUAUGAAAUAUUUUUAACCUAUUUUUAUUUUUUCGUAUUUUUAAAUAUAUUUUAAAAACAAUUUUUGUUUGUAGUAUUUUAUUUUGAAUUAUUUUUCACAUUUAUAUAAAUAUUUUUUUAAAUAGUCAUAAAAAAUAAAUUAAAAAAAUUAAAGGAUAUUAUUUAAAAUACCUUAUGUUCUAUUUUUAAAAAUAAAAACUAUUUUUAUUUUCCAUUUAUCAAAUGUAAUUUUUUUCCUUCCGAAAACAAAAAAUUGUUUUCAAAAAUAGUUACUAGAGAAUGCCCUAAGUACCAAAGUAUUUUGUGGAAGAAUAUAAGGUAAAUUUUUUAUCUUUUGUAAAAUUUUUAUUUUUAAACAUAUAAAAUAGAAAAUAUAUCCAUAUGUAAUUGUAGUAAUUAUUAUAAAUGUUUUAUUUGAAUUUUAGAUAAUUUAAAAAAAUUUCCUAAAAUUUUAUUUAACUUUUAUAAUUUGUUAAGGUCUAGGUUUUUGUCAAGUCUUCAUCUACAUUUAUGUAAAAUUAUGUAGGUUUUCAAAGAUUCUCGGAAAAAUUUAUUUCAUUCUCAUUUUGAUUAUACUGGUUUGUUUUUGUCAAGUCUUUGUCUAGUUUUAUGUAACAUUUUGUAGUUUUCUAAAAAAUCUUGGAAAAUUUUAUUCCAUUCUCAUUUUGAUUGUGUUGUUUUGUUUUUGUCUUCAUCUAGUUUGGUGAGGAGUCAAUAAAUUCAUAACGCGUAAAUCAUAACUUAUUUAAUUUGUUGACUAAGUUAAUAAAUAUGAUUUAAUAAUUUAAUUUAAGUAAUUAAAUAGAUUAAACAUCUUUGAUAAAAUAAUCUAAUAUCAUAAUUUAAUAUAAAAAAUAAUUUUAAGUAUUAAGUCAAAAUGCUUACUCAUUCUUAAUUUUAAAUCUUUUUUACCUAUUAUGCUCACAUGAAAUCUAAUACAAAAAAUUUUAUAAUCUAACUUUGGGUUUUUUUUUCUUUAAUGUUUCAUUAAUUUGAACUCUUAACUAAACAUAAAUAUUUAAGUGCAUAUUUAUUUUUAUAAUGAUAAGUAUUAAAACAAUAUAAAUUAAAUAAUGUAAUAAUUUUUAAAUUAUAAAUAAUAAGAUAGAUAGUGUUUUUAUGUAAAUAAAAUAAAAUACUAUAUUUUUUGUUUUGUUUUAAAUAUGUCUUCACACUUAAAUAUUAUAUAUGUUUUCAAAUAUUAGUUCAUUUAAAUUUAAACUUGUCCUCAUUUCUUUUGAUGAUAUCAAAUAUAAAAGAUAAAAUGUUAUUAAAAGUUUGAAUUAUAUUUAUAUUUCAUAGUUUUUUUACAUUAUUGGUUUGACCACAGUUCAAUUAUCAGUUCCAAUCAAUAAAUCGGUAAUUUUUUUUAUUCAAUGACUGGUCUAGUUCUAAAAACAUUGAUUUAAUGUAUUAAAACAAUUUUAAUAUUUAAAGUAAAAAUAAAAUAUUAUGUUUAUUAAAUAAUAAGUAUUAAGUUUUAUUAGUGAUUAUUUAAAUUUUUAAAAGUGGUUUUAAGAAUUUGUCAAACACCUAAUUUAUCUCAAAAAACACUUUCAUGUAUCACAUAUGAGAGACUUUUAACUUUUUCAAAAUCAUUAUCAAACAUACUUAUGAAAAAUUUUACAAAGAUUUUUUGGUACAUAUUUUUUGUAAGUUGUCAUUGUUUACAUUGGGUUGACUCUUCUAAGUCUUCUUCUUGGUCUUUUAGGUAAACACAGCGUAGCUUGGAAAAUUAUAUGAAUAAAUCCAUCAUUUAUCUCAACAUCAAUAUUUUUUUCUUCAAAUUAUUUGAUAGGAAACCUCGGAAAAUAUUGCCUUGAAAAAUGUGGUUGUAUUCACAUUUUUUCCACGAUAGUAGAGGUCUCAUAUUUUGGCUAUGAACUUUUUGGAAAAUCUAUUAUUAGAAGUAAACAACACGUAACUAAUUAAGUCAUUAAAUUAUUUAGAAAUAGUUUUUUUAAAGGUUCUUAGAAAACUUUACAUUUUUAUUUUGAUUUAUAAUGUCUAAAAAUCCUAUAUUACACUAUAAAUUAUUUUAAAAAUAUGCUAUUAGGAGUAAAGGAAACAAGAAACUUAUAUCAGUAAGAAAAAAUUUCUAUCUUUACCUUUUGAAAUUAGAGAAACUAUAUUUUUUUUAAUUAUAAGAAAUGAUGGAAAAAUAGUCUAAUUGAAAAAAAAAAAAAGGUAAAAGAGAAAAAUGUUUGUUUUAAAACAUAAUUUUUAAAUAUAAACCUAAAAAUAUCAAAUGUAUUAUCAUUAAUAUUUGAAAUUAUCAAAAUUUGUGAGAUAAUAAUUUCAUUUUGUUCUCCAUUAUAUAUUUAUGUUUAUAUUAAAUUUAUUUUCAUUAAUUUUUUUUAAUAUAUUAUUAUUUUGUGUUUAAUGGGAUAAUAUUUUCAUUUUUUUUUUGUAUAUUAUCCAUUUAUGUUUAUAUUAAUUUAUAUAUAUAUAUAUAUAUAUAUUAUCAUUUUGUGUUUAAUGUACAAUAAUUUUUUUUUUUGUCUAUUAUGUAUUUAUGUUUAUAUUAAAUUUGUUUUAUUAAUUAUCUUUUAUAUAUAACCAUUUUUUAUUUAAUGUGUUUAAAAAAAAUUAAAAUUUAAAAGAUGUAAUGAGAGAAAGUGUAGUGAGAAAUAAAUAAAUAAAUAUGUGUCGAAAACUUAGAUAAGGUAACAUGGAGGAGAAAAGAGAAAAAAAAAAUUGACUCAAUUGUGUCAAAAACCCGUAAAGGUUUUUGUGUGAAUCUCAUUCUUUUUAUUCCAUUUCUUCUAUCAUCUCUUAUAUUUUCCUUUUUCAUGUAAGCACGUUAAAAGUUUACCAAAGUUGCGAUUAAUUAAAAAAUAUUGCCUGUUCACAUUUUGAUUCAUUCAUGAUGUUUAAAUGUUUUGCAUGUAUUUGGGUUCUAGCCCUUCCAAAAAUCCACUAAUUUUUGUGUUUUGGAAAAUCCUCACCUAGUUCAUAUUUUUUGUGUUCUCAUUCUUCAUUAAGUUAGAAGACAAUCUUAGUGAGUGUCAAUGUUCACAUUACUUUUAUUGCAAUCCACUUGAGCGGAGACAAGGAAAUUUCAUUCAUGGUGGUCUUCCCACUAAAUUAAGGUGAUUGAGAUUUGUUUCGAUGGGUCAAUAUCAUGAAUUAUGUGAACACCAAUAUUAGAGGUUGUAGUAGUAGACUAUAAAAGUGUUGCCUAACUUGGGGUGUUUUCCGGAAGAGAGCCUCUUAGACACCAAUAUUCGAAAGCACUUAUCUUGAUUAUGGGGGUAAAAAAUGAAGUAGUUUUUGUUUUAGCUUAUGUUUGGUUCUUGGAAAACACUAAGGAAAGAAAAAAAAUGUAAAAGAAAAUGAUUUUUUUCAUGUUUAAUUAUCUUAUGAAAAAUAUCAAAGAAAACCAAAUAUAAUUAUAACUAGUUAGAAAUUUAUAUAUAUUUAAAUUAUUUAAUCUUUAUAUUAAUGAGUUAAAAUAAGUAAAAUGAGUUUAAAAUAACAAAUAAAAAUAAUUUAUAGACUCUUAAUCUAUUUUUUAUUUUCCUUUACUUUUUAUUUCCUUUUACUUUUCCUUUGCAUUUUUUUUCCCUUGCAUUUUUCCUUAAAUUUUUUGAGAACCAAACAUAGCCUUAGGAAACAAAAGAAGUAGUCCAAAAGUAUUUUGUAUAUGAAUAUAAGGUAAAUUCCUAUCUUAUGUACAAUUUAUAUUUUUAAAAAUAAAAAAUGGAAAAUAUAUGUACAGACAACCUUAAUAAUUAUCAUAAAUAUUUUAUUUGAACUUCAAAUUUUCUUUUCAUUUUUCAUUUUAUGAUUUAAAAGUUUUAUUUUUUCUAAAAUUUCAUUCAACUUUUAUAAUUUGCUAUUGUUCGCUUUUGUUUUUGUCAAGUCUUUGUCUAGUUUUUCAAAGAUUCUUGGAAAAUUUUAUCUCAUUCUCAUUUUGAGCGUGUUGUUUUGUUUUAGUCACGUCUUUAUCUAGUUUUAUAAUGAGUCCACAAAUCCAUACUGCGUAAAUCAUACGUAAUUUUUUUUUUUUGACUCAUUAUGAAUAUUUUAUUUAACUUUUAAAUUUUCUUUUAAUGAUCAUUUGCGUUUGUGAAGGGUCAUUCUUUUCAUUUUGUUUGACUUCUCAAAUCUCAUUUUCAUGUGAAACUUUGUAGGGUUUUCCAAAGGCCCUUGGAAAAUAUUGCCUUAUUCAUUAUGAAAUCUUCCAAAAAUCCAUGACGGGCAAUAAAUAAGGUAUAAGCUUAAUUGAGUGAUUACAUUAUUUAGAACUUAUAUAGGAUUGAUUUUAGGUAAAGCAUUCUUAAUUUGUAGUAGUCUUUGUAAUUAGUGUUUUUAUUAGAAAAACUUUUUAAGAAAAAUCAAUUAGUGCUUAGAUAUAAUAACAAAAAAAAAUAUAUAUAUUUUUAUAGUAUUUUUAGUAAUGUGUUAUAUAUAACAAAAAAAAAAAAAACAUAAAAUCUCCUAACAUGUGAUCAUCCAUGAAUCACUUUAGAUGAUUAACUAAAAUUUUAAAAUAACUUUAUGAUUAUCAUUCUUUAAUUUCGGUUGACUCUUCUAAGUCUACUUAUUGGUCUUUUAUGUAAAUAUGCUAUAGUUUGGAAAAUUCUAUCCAUCAUUAAUCAACAUCAAUCGUUGUUUUCUUUAAAUGAUUUGAUGGGAAAGCCUACCUCACAUGGAAUAUGGAGUGCCUUUGUUUAAUGGAUUUCAAUUGCAUGCUCCUGGAAAUUAUGCCCUAAUCCAUAUUUUUUUGCGUUGAUAUGGUGAGUUGUUGAAGAUGUAUUUCAUUUUCUUGAAAAGAAAUAAUUAGUGCAUAAACAUUUUUGAAAUAUUAAAUUAAAGAGGAAAAUGACACCAUACUCCCAUAAGAUUCAAUAUAUUUGUUUAUUUGUUAAAGAAGUAAAUAAUUAAUUAAUCAAAGACUUUAAAGGAAAUAUUUGUGUGAAUUAAAAAUAUAUAUUUAAAUUAUAAAGGAUUUAGAUAGGAAAGAAACAGAGGUUUUAAAUGUAUAAACUUGCAUGCAACAAAGGGAAUUUGUUGUCAUUGUCUACUGCCUUCUUUGUUACGUUAGAAGAGAGACAGCUGGGUGAUGAGCAUUUGUGUUCGAUCACAUUUACUUUUAUUGCAUGCAGUCCGCACUUAACUGAAAACAAGAAAUUAAUUCAUGGACCACGAGGACAUUAAUAUUAAUAUUAGAGACGUGAGCAGUAGACUGACUUGACUUGGUGUGUGCUUCCGGGAAGAGUCUUUCUUAGUCUUAGGCACCAACUAAUAUUUAUAUUUAUAUUUGCAUUAUAAAAGUGUGGUAAGGUUUAAUUGAUUGCGCAGAAUUAAAGAUGGCGUCCUCCAUUAUUAUUUUUACAGCAGUGGUGGUAGUUACCAUCACCAGUACCAUGAUGAUAAUGUUAUUCCCCCUUGCCAAUGCAAUAUCAUCACCAUCUUCAUCAACUGAUGAGGCAGAGGCUUUGCGCAGCACCGGUUGGUGGAAUUCUACCUCUGCUCAUUGCCACUGGGAUGGUGUAUUUUGCAAUAAUGCCGGAAGAGUGACUGGAAUCGCCCUUUACGGUUCAGGAAAAGAAUUGGGUGAGCUUAGCAAAUUGGAUUUUUCUUCAUUUCCCAGCCUGGUUGAGCUCUCCCUUUCUGACUGUGGACUCAAUGGUAGCAUCCCACACCAAAUAGGUACUCUUACUCAACUCACC